rnacentral:rRNA from 1 species
GGGCGGGGGGGCUAAUACAUGCAAGUCGAACGAACUCUGGUAUUGAUUGGUGCUUGCAUCAUGAUUUACAUUUGAGUGAGUGGCGAACUGGUGAGUAACACGUGGGAAACCUGCCCAGAAGCGGGGGAUAACACCUGGAAACAGAUGCUAAUACCGCAUAACAACUUGGACCGCAUGGUCCGAGCUUGAAAGAUGGCUUCGGCUAUCACUUUUGGAUGGUCCCGCGGCGUAUUAGCUAGAUGGUGGGGUAACGGCUCACCAUGGCAAUGAUACGUAGCCGACCUGAGAGGGUAAUCGGCCACAUUGGGACUGAGACACGGCCCAAACUCCUACGGGAGGCAGCAGUAGGGAAUCUUCCACAAUGGACGAAAGUCUGAUGGAGCAACGCCGCGUGAGUGAAGAAGGGUUUCGGCUCGUAAAACUCUGUUGUUAAAGAAGAACAUAUCUGAGAGUAACUGUUCAGGUAUUGACGGUAUUUAACCAGAAAGCCACGGCUAACUACGUGCCAGCAGCCGCGGUAAUACGUAGGUGGCAAGCGUUGUCCGGAUUUAUUGGGCGUAAAGCGAGCGCAGGCGGUUUUUUAAGUCUGAUGUGAAAGCCUUCGGCUCAACCGAAGAAGUGCAUCGGAAACUGGGAAACUUGAGUGCAGAAGAGGACAGUGGAACUCCAUGUGUAGCGGUGAAAUGCGUAGAUAUAUGGAAGAACACCAGUGGCGAAGGCGGCUGUCUGGUCUGUAACUGACGCUGAGGCUCGAAAGUAUGGGUAGCAAACAGGAUUAGAUACCCUGGUAGUCCAUACCGUAAACGAUGAAUGCUAAGUGUUGGAGGGUUUCCGCCCUUCAGUGCUGCAGCUAACGCAUUAAGCAUUCCGCCUGGGGAGUACGGCCGCAAGGCUGAAACUCAAAGGAAUUGACGGGGGCCCGCACAAGCGGUGGAGCAUGUGGUUUAAUUCGAAGCUACGCGAGAACCUUACCAGGUCUUG